rnacentral:rRNA from 1 species
AUUGAACGCUGGCGGCAGGCCUAACACAUGCAAGUCGAGCGGAUGAAGGGAGCUUGCUCCUGGAUUCAGCGGCGGACGGGUGAGUAAUGCCUAGGAAUCUGCCUGGUAGUGGGGGAUAACGUCCGGUAACGUGCGCUAAUACCGCAUACGUCCUGAGGGAGAAAGUGGGUGAUCUUCGGACCUCACGCUCUCAGAUGAGCUUAGGUCGGAUUAGCUAGUUGGUGGGGUAAAGGCCUACCAAGGCGACGAUCCGUAACUGGUCUGAGAGGGUGAUCAGUCACACUGGAACUGAGACACGGUCCAGACUCCUACGGGAGGCAGCAGUGGGGAAUAUUGGACAAUGGGCGAAAGCCUGAUCCAGCCAUGCCGCGUGUGUGAAGAAGGUCUUCGGAUUGUAAAGCACUUUAAGUUGGGAGGAAGGGCAGUAAGUUAAUACCUUGCUGUUUUGACGUUACCAACAGAAUAAGCACCGGCUAACUUCGUG